CAGAGCUGGGUCAGCAUCUGGCCUGGCUGCCCUGGGAGUGGGAAGCGCUGGCAUCCCUGGGGAUCCACCUGGGAUGCAGCUCCUCGGCUCAUCCCUGCUGCCGCCUGGUUCCACGGAGAAUUCCUGGGAAUUCAGCCUCUCCAGGUGGGAUUUUCAGCAGCUGCAGUGUUUAGCAGUGGGGAAAAAAAAAAAAUCGGGAAGGUGUGUGGAGGAGGAAGGUGUUAUUUGGGAACAGCACCAGCCAAAAAACCCAAGGGAAAUAAAGCAGCUCCGUGUGUGUGGCACCGAAGGCAGAGGAGGGGGAACCACCCCAGGAGCACCAGGCUGGGAGGUGAGUUCGGAGCAGUCCUGGUGUGCCUUUGCCAGGGCCAAUUUUCCUUCCUUCUCCAUGGGAUGGGCCUGUUCCCAGCUGCAAACGGGGCUCACCUCACAGCGAGCACCCCCCGGGAACUGGGAAGUUCGGGAAGGAAGGAGCAGGGACUGAGCAACAACUUCCCAGGCAGGGCCGGCAUCGGGCCCCCAGGGCUGAGCUGGGUCUGCCCGCCGGCGUUUAUUCCUUUAUUUCCCUGCUGGAAAGCGGCUCCAUCAGCUCCGGCAUCAUCUCUCCAUCCUGAGCGAGCCGUGCUGGGCUGGGAGGGGAGGGAGCAGCUGGAUCCCAGAAUCCCUGUCUGAGCCACCGCAGGGAGCCCGGGCAGCCCCUUCCCGACACCUCCUCCCCGGCCCAGCGCCUCCUCCCUCACCAUGCUGGACAUUUUCAUCCUGAUGUUCUUCGCCAUCAUCGGCCUCGUGAUCCUCUCCUACAUCAUUUACAUGCUCUAGGGAGGCGCCGGGGGGGGGGAGAUGCGGCUCAGCACCAGCCCCGCAGCCCGAGCGCCAUCCAGCCUCUGCCUGGUCCGUGUCCCUCGGAGCCUUCUGGAAGGGCGUUAACCCCUGCGAGCCCAGCGCGGAGCACGGAGGGGCCGGGGAGGGGUGGAAUGGGGAGGGGGCUGCGAGGGGACACCCCCCUGCCGGGACCGGGGCUGUCCCGGGGGUAUGGGAAGGGUCCUGCCCCCCCCCUUGGGAUGAGCCCGUCCGAGGUCGGUCAUCUGGGUUUCAUUUUAGGAGAGCACUUCUAUUUUUAAUGAAAAAAAAAAGUAGGAUGAGACGGAAUAAAGAGGAAUGACACGGGA